ACUGGGUCGGAGUCGGCGGCGCGGAGUCGCUUACUGUACCAGCACCUCUCUCCCUCCGAGGAGGCAACUCAGCCAUUCCAGGAAGCACGACAUCUAAUAACAUAAACUCAGAGUGCUCCCCACAUUCAUCUUCUACACAGACCCGCCUGUCCUGUCAGGGCUCCAGUGCUUCGUGACUGUCCUCAUGCCUCCGGAGGGCUGCGUGAUCACCCUUCCAGUUGCUUUUUGAACCCAUCCCAAGCUUGUGUCAGAAGCGCGGGUGAUGGAUUCCCUGUGCCAUCAACGUGAGCCAUGGAUUAGAAUAUAGCACACAUUUACGCCGCAUGGGAUGGUAAACAACACAGCGUGUACUCGACUUCAUAAACACGCUGCCUUGUUACAAAGGCCACUGAAAACGCAGUGUGAUAGGACUUGACCUUAAAAGCUAUCGACAAUCUAGCCCAGCACAGACGGUUUCGUGGAGUACAAUCACUUCCUGGAAUUCUUGGGCCAGCGAAGUCGGAGCCGAGCAAAUCCUGUUUUCCUUGCAUUGUUUCCUGCAUGUGAAUACCAUCAGUCUAGCAGAAAUAGGCUACCGAGGCAGGCAGAGUGGCUUUUACUGUUCAAGAUACAGAGAAGAGGAUUAAAACAAGAACUCUGAGUAGUCAGCAGAGAAGCCCAGAACACAGCCAUCUCUAAGGCCUCCAGAAAGUGGCUCCAUCUGGAUUGGUCUAAAGCUCAAGAAGAUUAAGCGAGGGUCUGGUCUGAAGAAGAGACUCAUUCCCUCAACCCGGAUCUCAAGCAUCCUGUCUGCUUUGCAAAGCAGCCAUCUGGUACAAGCAGACAUUCCUGAUGUGACUUCCAGUGUCCUUUUAGGGAGUGAGAUGUGUCAAUAGGCAAAGCAGUAAGUGCAUGGGACUCCAAGCAGCCAACGCCUCAGCGCACUCCAAGAUGAUUGGCAGCUCUGGGAACUGGAUGAGCAUGAAGAAGUUGAUGUAAACAUCAGACGGGACAGUGAACAGAGAUGUAAAAUAGUUCCUGACCAAGGACUAUCACUGCAGCCCGGGCGGGAAACAAGGGUUUACCAGGAGA